AUUUUAUUUGUUUUGUGCUGUUUACAACAACACGCACUGAGACAAUGUAGACAAAUCAGCUCUAAAGAAAUGGAAAGCAUCCAUUCCUCUAAUGAUUAAGUGACAAUGACAGUAAUGGAUAAGAAAACAGAAACGAGAAAAGAACCUUGACAGAGAUGUGCUUUUCUGAGGGGAUACUGAAUAGGGGAUGUAGGAUACUGUAAAAUAUUGUGAAGGCGGGUUUAAAACAUAUGUUCCCAUAUCAUAUAGGAAAUAAGAGCGAUGAAUGCGGUUAAAAGUUUGUUAAAGAGCAACUCAUGAACAAUGUAACAAACACAUGAUCUUCAGAUGUAUUAUUAGCGAUUUUAAUCUUUUCUGACUAAAACAAAAGUUCUGAUAUUCUCUUACCAGUGUAUUUUACAGAUGGAGACAUGAGUGCCGUACUAUGAUGGCUGUUUCAUUCACAUGCUGUAAAAACACAUCCUUCCGCUGACAAAACUUGAUGGUUUACCCAACACUAGUGAGCGAUAACUGAAAUCCAGCCUUUGUACAUGUAUUGUAUUUUAGGGGAGAGGUACAGUAUUUGUGGGAGGUUUACUGGUAGGCUAUUAAUAAGAGACUGGAGAAAAAUUCAAAUCCCAUUUCUACCAUAUUUACUUUGUGCUUUUGUUUCUGUUUCAAUCCUGUAUCCACCCCGUCCUGUCAUUGGCCUGUUACCCAAUGUGUGCACCUGUUCUGUCUAGUCCUUCAUUCAUUUACCUAUGUAUAGCCUGCUAUUUCAUUGUUUCGUUGCAAAGCCUUAUCAUGCAUUUCUAACAAAAAUCCAAGCCUUGUUUUCUAGUUCCUGGUCUGUGUGCAUUAUUUCACAGUUUUAAUCUAACGAUUAACGGAUCGUUCUAGUUUGCUGCCUGUGCUCUGACACCCACUUGGAUCUCUGACAAUGAUUCUCCUUAAUAAAGCACACAGUAGGUUUUACACACUUGUGCGUCCUGCCUCCUAUCACUGCACGUAACACUGGCAAACAAAUAACAUGGAGCAUCUUUUGGUGGACGUCCUCCUCCCCAAGGAUUACGCCAAUGGCUGGUGAUGCAGAUGGUAUUUGAACACAGGGGGUGUGAAUAAAAAAGGACUUGUUCUUUAGCAACAUUAACAACACCUUUUAAGGGGUACUAGGAGUAGUAGUAGAAAUAGGCGUAGGAGUGGUGGUAGGAGCAGUGAUUGGAGUAGUCAUAGUGCGAAGACAUGAUAAUUAAUUAUCUGAAGUAUAGGACUAGUGGCUGAAAGAAAGGGUUCACAAGUUAAUGGAUAAGGGGUCGGAGUAGAGAUGGGAGUACCGUACUGGAUUGAGUAGGGGUUGGAUGGGAAGUCCUGGAGAUAUUCAUCAGUACAGGAGCUGUUCCUGGUAUGAUUCUGAGAAGAGCUCAGGGUUAGUAUUUUUAGUAUGACUAUUUAUGUUAUACCUUUCAUUAUAGAUAGGACAGUGUUUAUUCUUAAUCUGUGUUAAUUCAUGGUUGAUUUUCAGGCCUUUUAUUUCAUUUCUGCCAUUGGCAUUAAGUUGUGGGAAGAAUAGAUAUUGCUGCUGCAUGGAGAAAUGAAGUUUUAUUUAAGUUUGUAGAUGAAGUGUAUGGCUUCAAGGAGAAUCAACAGGUUAGGUGUGUAGGCCAGUAAUUGUACCCAUUGUUUAAACACACUAACACCACCACUGACGCAACACCCAAUAAGAUUCCAGUGUCAUGUCAGUGUUUCUGCUGUUCGGCAUCUGGAAGGAUUAGUGGCAGUGGUUCAUCAAUUGGUAGGGGAAAUGGGUCCGGCAAUGGUUCAGGGACUGGUUCGGGUUGUGGUUCAGGGACUUGUUCGGGUUGUGGGACAGGGAUUGCUUGGGGUUGUGGGUCGGGGAGUGGGAUAGAAGAAAUUGGAACAGUGGUUGUAAUAGUUCCAGGAGUAGUGGUGAGUGUAAUAGUAGUAGUGGUUUGACUAGUUGUAGAAAUAGUUGGAAAAGUAGUGUUAGGAGUAAAUGAAGUAGUAGUAGAUAUUAUGGUUGUAGGGGUAGUUGUAGGAGAAGUGAAGGGAGUAACUGGAGUAGUAGUUGUUUGAGUAGUGGUAGGUGGAAUUGGAGGAGGAGUAGCUGAACUUGUUGCAUCGUAUUGUAUAGGGAUGAUUGGAUUGGUGGUAGAACUAAUUGGAGGACUGGUGGUAGGAGUAACUGAAGGUGCAGUGGAUGGAAAAGUUAUAGGAGUAGUGGUUGGAAUAGUUGAAGGAGCAGUGGUUAUAGUAGGGCUAGGAGUAGUGUUAGGAGUACUUGGAGGAAUCGUGUCACAAAUAGUUGUAGUAGUAGUAGGAGUUGGAGUAGUAGUGGUUGGAGUAGUGUUAGGAGUACUUGGAGGAAUCGUGUCACAAAUAGUUAUAGUAGUAGUAGGAGUUGGAGUAGUAGUGUUUGGAGUAGUGUUAGGAGUACUUGGAGGAAUCGUGUCACAAAUAGUUGUAGUAGUAGUAGGAGUUGGAGUAGUAGUGGUUGGAGUAGUGUUAGGAGUACUUGGAGGAAUCGUGUCACAAAUAGUUAUAGUAGUAGUAGGAGUUGGAGUAGUAGUGUUUGGAGUAGUGUUAGGAGUACUUGGAGGAAUCGUGUCACAAAUAGUUGUAGUAGUAGGAGUUGGAGUAGUAGUGGUAGGAGUAGGGCUAGGAGUACUUGGAGGAAUCGUGUCACAAAUAGUUAUAGUAGUAGUAGGAGUUGGAGUAGUAGUGUUUGGAGUAGUGUUAGGAGUACUUGGAGGAAUCGUGUCACAAAUAGUUGUAGUAGUAGGAGGAGUUGGAGUAGUAGUGUUUGGAGUAGUGGUAGGAGUACUUGGAGGAAUCGUGUCACAAAUAGUUGUAGUAGUAGGAGGAGUUGGAGUAGUAGUGUUUGGAGAAGUGUUAGGAGUACUUGGAGGAAUCGUGCCACAAAUAGUUGUAGUAGUAGGAGUUGGAGUAGUAGUGGUAGGAGUAGGGCUAGGAGUAGUGGUAGAAGUAGUAGGAGUUGGAGUAGUAGUGGUAGGAGUAGGGCUAGGAGUAGUGGUUGGAUGGGAAGUGCUCAUCGGUGCAGGAGCUGAUCCUUGUAUGAC
ensembl:lncRNA